rnacentral:rRNA from 1 species
UACGUAGGGGGCAAGCGUUGUCCGGAAUUAUUGGGCGUAAAGAGCUCGUAGGCGGUCUGUCGCGUCGGCUGUGAAAACCCGGGGCUCAACUCCGGGCCUGCAGUCGAUACGGGCAGACUAGAGUUCGGUAGGGGAGACUGGAAUUCCUGGUGUAGCGGUGAAAUGCGCAGAUAUCAGGAGGAACACCGAUGGCGAAGGCAGGUCUCUGGGCCACUACUGACGCUGAGAAGCGAAAGCAUGGGGAGCGAACAGG